AUACUUUUUAAAAAAUAUAUAUUUUUGUCUGUCGUAUAGGGCUUUGACUUUUAAACUGUGCUACAAAAUAUGCCUCCCAAAAAGACAACCGAUAAACCUGAUACAAACAAAUCCAUUAAUGUUAAUUAUUCUCCCAAAACAGAUAAACCCCAAGCACAAAAAAAUAUCUCUUUCACCCUGUCCAUUGGAAAGCUCAUCAACAAUUAAUCCCAUCCCCAUCCCUGACAUUUCUCCACCAGAAGUUUGAUCAAAUUAGUGGACGAGCUGUAUGAGAAAAUUAAGAACGAUUUUAAACA